UGAGGCUGAUGACGGCCAUGUGUCACCGUUGCCAUAGUAACCACCCGGGCAGGGACAAACAUCCGGAUGCGCUGCUGACAGCCGUGUCACCAUUUUCUCAUCAAAUAUGUUAUAAUAAUCACUAUCACUGGUCACCAUGGUGACCGGUAAACAAAGAGGAUGUACAGUACGAUGACAGGCUUCCCCCCCUUCACCUUUCUGACGUUAUCUCAUGGUGUUUCUGCAGUCGCAGCAAAAAACUGUUGGAUUUAUGAUAAAAUUGUUUAUAAAAUGCUUGAUAAUGAAAUACACAGUGUUAUUACCCAUCUCUACAUAAGAUAUAAUAACCAAAUAAAGUGAUUUAAUACAA